UUUGUAACAUAUGCCAUAGAUUUAGUACUAUGUAUGAUGUGGUAAACUUUAAUAAAUAAAUAAACACAAAUUUCAGAUAAAAUUUCCAGUGGCGGAGAAUAAAGAAGCCGGCUCGGAAGCAUGCACGGAGUUUUUAAAUUUAAUAAAGAAAUUAAUAAAACCGAAAGAAGAUGCGAACACAUCGGAUGAGGUAACAAAGAAACCUAAAACGAAGAAAUUCGAGGAACGAUUGGAGAAAUAUUUUGAAGAGAAAUUUCCCUGGUGGCCAAGCAAAUUGAUUGAAGAUUUUGAUGUGACCACCGAAAAACCAACAACAAAAGCGACACCUGUAGAAACAUUAGUGACCAGUUACAUGGAUUUUUUGAAUAAUUUACUGAAGAUUUUUUAGUUAGAUGUAAAUUAUUUAGAAAAUGUUUUUGUAAGCCUAUGGAAUAACCCUAAAUAUAUUUGGAUUAAACGUU